rnacentral:rRNA from 1 species
CGCCAAAACUACGAGUAAAAACUUAAAAUUUAAAAGACUUGACGGUACCUCACAACAACCUAGAGGAGCCUGUCUAAUAACCGAUAUUCCACGAUCAACCCGACCCCCCCUAGCCUAACAGUCUAUAUACCGCCGUCGCCAGCCUACCUUAUGAAAGAAACAAAGUAAGCCAAAUAGUCACACACUAAUACGACAGGUCGAGGUGUAACUAAUGAGGGGGCCCAAGAUGGGCUACAUUUUCCAAUAUAGAAAACACGAAUAAACUAUGAAACAAGAAACUGAAGGCGGAUUUAGCAGUAUACUAAGAACAAAAUACAUGGUAGAAACCAACGCAAUGAGGUGCGUACACACCGCCCGUCAUCCCUGUCAACCAACUACUUAAUCUCCAUAAACAAAAUAAUCACCCAAAACAGGGCAAGUCGUAACAAGGUAAG